rnacentral:lncRNA from 1 species
ACGUGGAUCCCUGAUUUCUUCUCCCGUUCGAAUCAAGCCGAGUCCCAACUUCAUAUUUCGAUCACUCCCUUCCACAUCCCCUGCUCCGCUAUAUCUCAACUGCCAACCUUCAAAUCCCAAGCCUCCCAGCCGUCCGCCAUGCCCAAUCCUCCCGUGAUGCAUGCAAGAGAUCGCAACAUCCCAGCUUGCAAAACUGAGCCAGCUCGUUCAUUCCAUCUUCCCCAACUUCCGGAUGAGAUCCACUUGUGUCACAGCAUGUAUUCCAUACUUUCUCUUCCAAAUCCGAACCAGCUUGAUCUCUAGCAUCCACGGAUUAGAACUCCCCUUUCGGAUUAACUCCCAGCCAUCCCCUGCUUCAAAACUAUCAUCCUUAUCUUCUUCCGAACCAAAUCCAACGCCUUCCCAGCAUUCGGAUUGACCCCAGCCACGGGAACAGAACCAGGAUCUUCUCAACGUCCACGCCAUCAUCAGCAUCCUCAGAUCAAGCCAACCUACGCGUUUGUUCCCAGCAUCCGAGCUUCACGUGCUCCUCCCCUGUUUCGGAACAAAUCCCAGCCGAAUCCAAACCCCUCCCGUGAUUCAACCCAGCGACAGCAUUCAACCAUCUCCGCAUGCAUCCCAUCAUCCCUUCAUCUCGGGUCAAGCCAACAAAUGCAUCCUUAUCCCAUGGCCAGCCGUUCCCAAGCUUCCAAGCAAGCUUCAUCUAAACUGUCAAUCGAAUCCAAGCUUAUCCCCUGUUCCCAGGCGCUCCCAGCCGAAUCUAGAACCCAUCCUCUCUCCAUUCCGUGGAUUGUGUUUUCAAGCCUUCUUCCGUUCAGCUUCCGCUAGCCCGGAUAAGCUCGAAUCUCCCGCAUCCUUAUUCCUUCCGUAUUCAAAGUUCCAGCUUACCUCCCCUUCAAGCCAUCUUAUCUUCAUCACGAAUCAAGCCAAGUUAUAUCCCAGAUCGUUCCCAACCGACUGCCUCCACCCAGUAGGCCGAGAUCCUCUCAUGUCUCCGUUCCCAGUUCAUUCCCAUCUCCACGGAUAAGCUCCCAGCCAACUCAUCUUUGCCGGAUCUCCUGUUACAACAAAACAAAACAUGAGAUUAUCCUCACAGGUUGUUCAAACGAUCGGGACUAGAGCCAGCAGAGAUCUCGCAGCUUCAUCCAGCUUCAAUCUAUCCUUAUCUCGACGUGAAAUAAGAAGGAGGAGAGAGAGGGAUGGCAGCCUAUAAAAGGCCCAGGCAUGAAACAGGGGAGGCAACUUCGGGUGGGGGGGGGGGGGGGUUCCACAUAUCUUCACAAGCUUGGUUCCGAGGCCGAAGUGCUUCUUAGGUUGAGUUCCUACAAGAUAAAGGAGGGAGAGAAUACUUUGGGUCUUUUUGGGAAUGAUUUCUCAAAAGAAAAAAAUAAUGAAUUGCUAGACAAGGAAGGAGAGACCCAGGGAAGGGAGGAAGAAAAGAAGAAAUGGGAGCCCGCUGCUGUGCCACUGCUGCUGUCGCCCA